UACGUAGGGUGCAAGCGUUAAUCGGAAUUACUGGGCGUAAAGCGUGCCCAGGCGGCUUUGCAAGACGGAUGUGAAAUCCCCGGGCUUAACCUGGGAACUGCAUUUGUGACUGCAUGGCUGGAGUGCGGCAGAGGGGGAUGGAAUUCCGCGUGUAGCAGUGAAAUGCGUAGAUAUGCGGAGGAACACCGAUGGCGAAGGCAAUCCCCUGGGCCUGCACUGACGCUCAUGCACGAAAGCGUGGGGAGCAAACAGG
rnacentral:rRNA from 1 species